UACGGAGGGGGCUAGCGUUGUUCGGAAUUACUGGGCGUAAAGCGCACGUAGGCGGCUUGGCAAGUCAGAGGUGAAAGCCCGGGGCUCAACUCCGGAAUAGCCUUUGAAACUGCCGGGCUUGAAUGCGGGAGAGGUGAGUGGAAUUCCGAGUGUAGAGGUGAAAUUCGUAGAUAUUCGGAAGAACACCAGUGGCGAAGGCGACUCACUGGACCGCUAUUGACGCUGAGGUGCGAAAGCGUGGGGAGCAAACAGG
rnacentral:rRNA from 1 species